UCGGCGGACGGGUGAGUAACGUGUGGGCAACCUACCUUUUACUGUGGAAUAAUCGUUGGAAACGACGACUAAUACCGCAUACGGUUCUUGGAAGGCAUCUUCUAAGAAAGAAAGGAGUAAUUCGGUAAAAGAUGGGCCCGCAUCUGAUUAGCUAGUUGGUGAGAUAAUAGCCCACCAAGGCAACGAUCAGUAGCCGACCUGAGAGGGUGACCGGCCACAUUGGGACUGAGACACGGCCCAGACUCCUACGGAAGGCAGCAG
rnacentral:rRNA from 1 species